GAGGGUUAGGGUCAGGCGCGCGGUUUGAGAUUAGCGCGGGUACGCUGCGCCUGUGGUGGGCCAGGGGGCGUACGAUAACAGCGCGGGGUAUGCGCGGCCGUACGAUAGCAACGGAAGAGCGGUUUACUAGCCAUCAGACGUUAACAGCGUGCGAGGGUGCGGAAUCCAAGGUCAUGAAGCCCUCCCAGGUUUCUUGAUUUCUGAUGAUAUAAAUAAAGGAAAUUUGCUCUUUCUGCGUCUUUUUUAGACUUUUCUAGGUUAUGUGGUUUUGUUUUUGUUGUGGUUGUUUUUUUUUUUUCAAGUUUUUGAAAGUUCUUUUCCAGCGCUUUUCGUAGAUUUGUUCAGUGGUGAUGGUGAUGAGUGUUGAGCUGGUGGUUGGAAUGUAAAUAUUUUGGUUGUGUGAAACUAUGAUGAAUAUAAUAGCUUUUCAUUUGUUUGUCUUAA